AAAUUGAAGAGUUUGAUCAUGGCUCAGAUUGAACGCUGGCGGCAGGCCUAACACAUGCAAGUCGAACGGUAACAGGAAGCAGCUUGCUGCUUCGCUGACGAGUGGCGGACGGGUGAGUAAUGUCUGGGAAACUGCCUGAUGGAGGGGGAUAACUACUGGAAACGAUGGCUAAUACCGCAUAACGUCGCAAGACCAAAGAGGGGGACCUUCGGGCCUCUUGCCAUCAGAUGUGCCCAGAUGGGAUUAGCU
rnacentral:rRNA from 1 species